AUUGAACGCUGGCGGCAUGCUUUACACAUGCAAGUCGAACGGUAACAGGCCGCAAGGUGCUGACGAGUGGCGAACGGGUGAGUAAUGCAUCGGAACGUGCCCAGCCGUGGGGGAUAACUACUCGAAAGAGUAGCUAAUACCGCAUACGAUCUAUGGAUGAAAGCGGGGGACCGUAAGGCCUCGCGCGAUUGGAGCGGCCGAUGUCAGAUUAGGUAGUUGGUGGGGUAAAGGCUCACCAAGCCAACGAUCUGUAGCUGGUCUGAGAGGACGACCAGCCACACUGGGACUGAGACACGGCCCAGACUCCUACGGGAGGCAGCAGUGGGGAAUUUUGGACAAUGGGCGCAAGCCUGAUCCAGCAAUGCCGCGUGCAGGAAGAAGGCCUUCGGGUUGUAAACUGCUUUUGUACGGAACGAAACGGCUCUGGUUAAUACCCGGGGCUAAUGACGGUACCGUAAGAAUAAGCACCGGCUAACUGCGUG
rnacentral:rRNA from 1 species